AUUGAACGCUGGCGGCAGGCCUAACACAUGCAAGUCGAGCGGAGCGGCGGACGGGUGAGUAAUGCAUAGGAAUCUGCCUGGUAGUGGGGGAUAACGUCCGGAAACUGGCACUAAUACUGCAUACUAUCAGAUGAGCCUAGGUCGGAUUAGCUAGGUGGUGGGGGAAAGGCCUACCAAGGCGACGACCCGUAACUGGUCUGAGAGGAUGAUCAGUCACAAUGGAAAUGAGACACGGUCCAGACGCCUACGGAAGGCAGAAUUGGGGAAUAUUGGACAAUGGGCGAAAGCCUGAUCCAGACAUGCCGCGUGUGUGAAGAAGGUCUUCGGAUUGUAAAGCACUUUCAGAUGGGAGGCGUUACCAACAGAAUAAGCACCGGCUAACUUCGUGCCAGCAGCCGCGGUAAUUC
rnacentral:rRNA from 1 species